rnacentral:rRNA from 1 species
CAGUAGCCACGGUAAUACGUAGGGUGCGAGCGUUAAUCGGAAUUACUGGGCGUAAAGCGUGCGCAGGCGGUUAUAUAAGUCAGAUGUGAAAUCCCCGGGCUCAACCUGGGAACUGCAUUUGAGACUGUAUGGCUAGAGUGUGUCAGAGGGGGGUAGAAUUCCACGUGUAGCAGUGAAAUGCGUAGAUAUGUGGAGGAAUACCGAUGGCGAAGGCAGCCCCCUGGGAUAACACUGACGCUCAUGCACGAAAGCGUGGGGAGCAAACAGGAUUAGAUACCCCAGUAGUCCCUGUCUCUUAUAC